rnacentral:rRNA from 1 species
AUUGAACGCUGGCGGAAUGCUUUACACAUGCAAGUCGAGCGGCAGCACGGGGGCAACCCUGGUGGCGAGCGGCGAACGGGUGAGUAAUACAUCGGAACAUGCCCAGUCGUGGGGGAUAACACUUCGAAAGAAGUGUUAAUACCGCGUACGUCCUGAGGGAGAAAGCGGGGGAUCUUCGGACCUCGCGCGAUUGGAGUGGCCGAUGUCAGAUUAGCUAGUUGGUGGGGUAAAGGCCUACCAAGGCAACGAUCUGUAGCUGGUCUGAGAGGAUGAUCAGCCACACUGGGACUGAGACACGGCCCAGACUCCUACGGGAGGCAGCAGUGGGGAAUUUUGGACAAUGGGGGCAACCCUGAUCCAGCCAUUCCGCGUGAGUGAAGAAGGCCUUCGGGUUGUAAAGCUCUUUCGGCAGGAACGAAACGGCGAGCUCUAACAUAGCUUGCUAAUGACGGUACCUGAAGAAGAAGCACCGGCUAACUACGUGCCAGCAGCCGCCGUAACAC